rnacentral:miRNA from 1 species
GCGGGGAGGGGGACCACGAGAGAGAGAGAGAGAGAGAGAAAGAGAAAGAGAGAGAGAGAAGGAAAAAGCAGGUCUCCUCUUUGGCAACAGGGCGCGCGUGGAAAAGUUACAACGCGCCUCUCUUUCUUUCUUUUCUUUCUUUCUCUCUCUCUCUCUCUCUCUCUCUCUCUCUCUUUCCUCA